CGAAAGCCUGAUGGAGCAACGCCGCGUGUGUGAUGAAGGUCUUCGGAUCGUAAAGCACUUUCGACCGGGACGAAAAACCUCUGGCUAACAUCCAGGGGCCUGACGGUACCGGGAGAAGAAGCACCGGCUAACUCUGUGCCAGCAGCCGCGGUAAUACAGAGGGUGCAAGCGUUGUUCGGAAUUAUUGGGCGUAAAGCGCGUGUAGGCGGCUUGGCAAGUCAGAUGUGAAAGCCCAUGGCUUAACCAUGGAAGUGCGUCUGAAACUGCUGAGCUUGAGUGCCGGAGAGGAUGGCGGAAUUCCGCAAGUAGAGGUGAAAUUCGUAGAUAUGCGGAGGAACACCGGUGGCGAAGGCGGCCAUCUGGACGGCAACUGACGCUGAGACGCGAAAGCGUGGGGAGCAAACAGGAUUAGAUACCCUGGUAGUCCACGCUGUAAACGAUGAGAACUAGGUGUCGUGGGUGUUGACCCCCGCGGUGCCGUAGCUAACGCAUUAAGUUCUCCGCCUGGG
rnacentral:rRNA from 1 species